CUACGGGCUGCUCCAGUGGGGAAUAUUGGACAAUGGGGGCAACCCUGAUCCAGCAAUGCCGCGUGUGUGAAGAAGGCCUGCGGGUUGUAAAGCACUUUCAGCAGCCAAGAAAAGCCUGGGGUUAAUACCCCCGGGUCUUGACGUUAACUGCAGAAGAAGCACCGGCUAACUCUGUGCCAGCAGCCGCGGUAAUACAGAGGGUGCAAGCGUUAAUCGGAAUUACUGGGCGUAAAGCGCGCGUAGGCGGUUUGUUUAGUCGGAUGUGAAAGCCCCGGGCUCAACCUGGGAAUUGCAUUCGAUACUGGCAGGCUAGAGUAUGGUAGAGGGAAGUGGAAUUCCGGGUGUAGCGGUGAAAUGCGUAGAUAUCCGGAGGAACACCAGUGGCGAAGGCGGCUUCCUGGACCAAUACUGACGCUGAGGUGCGAAAGCGUGGGGAGCAAACAGGAUUAGAUACCCGAGUAGUC
rnacentral:rRNA from 1 species